CCUACGGGAGGCUGCAGUAGGGAAUAUUGCUCAAUGGGGGAAACCCUGAAGCAGCAACGCCGCGUGGAGGAUGAAGGUUUUCGGAUUGUAAACCCCUUUUGUUAGAGAAGAUAAUGACGGUAUCUAACGAAUAAGCACUGGCUAACUCCGGGCCAGCAGCCGCGGUAAUACGAAGGGGGCAAGCGUUACUCGGAUUCACUGGGCGUAAAGGGCGCGUAGGCGGGAUAGCAAGUCAGAUGUGAAAUCCGAUGGCUUAACCAUAGAACUGCAUUUGAAACUGUUAUUCUAGAGUGUGGGAGAGGUAGGUGGAAUUCUUGGUGUAGCGGUAAAAUGCGUAGAGAUCAAGAGGAAUACUCAUUGCGAAGGCGACCUGCUAGAACAUGACUGACGCUGAUGCGCGAAAGCGUGGGGAGCAAACAGGAUUAGAUACCCCGGUAGUC
rnacentral:rRNA from 1 species